AUACGUAGGUGGCAAGCGUUAUCCGGAUUUACUGGGUGUAAAGGGCGUGUAGGCGGGACUGCAAGUCAGAUGUGAAAACUAUGGGCUCAACCCAUAGCCUGCAUUUGAAACUGUAGUUCUUGAGGGUCGGAGAGGCAAUUGGAAUUCCGUGUGGAGCGGUGAAAUGCGUAGAUAUACGGAGGAACACCAGUGGCGAAGGCGGAUUGCUGGACGAUAACUGACGCUGAGGCGCGAAAGCGUGGGGAGCGAACAGGAUUAGAUACCCUGGUAGUCCACGCCGUAAACGAUGGAUACUAGGUGUGGGGGGUCUGACCCCCUCCGUGCCGCAGCUAACGCAAUAAGUAUCCCACCUGGGGAGUACGAUCGCAAGGUUGAAACUCAAAGGAAUUGACGGGG
rnacentral:rRNA from 1 species